UACGUAGGUGGCAAGCGUUGUCCGGAAUUAUUGGGCGUAAAGCGCGCGCAGGCGGCCUUUUAAGUCUGAUGUGAAAGCCCACGGCUCAACCGUGGAAGGUCAUUGGAAACUGAAAGGCUUGAGUACAGAAGAGGAAAGCGGAAUUCCACGUGUAGCGGUGAAAUGCGUAGAGAUGUGGAGGAACACCAGUGGCGAAGGCGGCUCACUGGCCCGAUACUGACGCUGAGGCACGAAAGCGUGGGGAGCAAACAGG
rnacentral:rRNA from 1 species